rnacentral:misc_RNA from 1 species
GAUGAAGAACGUAGCGAAAUGCGAUACUUGGUGUGAAUUGCAGAAUCCCGUGAACCAUCGAGUCUUUGAACGCAAGUUGCGCCCGAAGCCAUUAGGCCGAGGGCACGCCUGCCUGGGCGUCACACGUCGUUGCCCCCCCAUCUACUCCUUCGGGAUUGCGGGGGGUGGAUGAUGGCCUCCCGUGCGCCUCGCCGCGCGGUUGGCAUAAAUGCCAAGUCCUCGGCGACGCACGCCACGACAAUCGGUGGUUGCGAAACCUCGGUUGCCCGUCGUGUGCGGUCGUCGCGCAUCGAGGGCUCGAAAAAAUUGCCGGGUUCCGGCUCGGCUUUCAACGCGACCCCAGGUCAGGCGGGGUUACCCGCUGAAUUUAAGCAUAUCAAUAGCGGAGGA